AGUCGGAACGGUAACAGGAAGMAGCUUGCUKCUUUGCUGACGAGUGGCGGACGGGUGAGUAAUGUCUGGGAAACUGCCUGAUGGAGGGGGAUAACUACUGGAAACGGUAGCUAAUACCGCAUAACGUCGCAAGACCAAAGAGGGGGACCUUCGGGCCUCUUGCCAUCGGAUGUGCCCAGAUGGGAUUAGCUAGUAGGUGGGGUAACGGCUCACCUAGGCGACGAUCCCUAGCUGGUCUGAGAGGAUGACCAGCCACACUGGAACUGAGACACGGUCCAGACUCAUACGGGAGGCAGCAGUGGGGAAUAUUGCACAAUGGGCGCAAGCCUGAUGCAGCCAUGCCGCGUGUAUGAAGAAGGCCUUCGGGUUGUAAAGUACUUUCAGCGGGGAGGAAGGGAGUAAAGUUAAUACCUUUGCUCAUUGACGUUACCCGCAGAAGAAGCACCGGCUAACUCCGUGCCAGCAGCCGCGGUAAUACGGAGGGUGCAAGCGUUAAUCGGAAUUACUGGGCGUAAAGCGCACGCAGGCGGUUUGUUAAGUCAGAUGUGAAAUCCCCGGGCUCAACCUGGGAACUGCAUCUGAUACUGGCAAGCUUGAGUCUCGUAGAGGGGGGUAGAAUUCCAGGUGUAGCGGUGAAAUGCGUAGAGAUCUGGAGGAAUACCGGUGGCGAAGGCGGCCCCCUGGACGAAGACUGACGCUCAGGUGCGAAAGCGUGGGGAGCAAACAGGAUUAGAUACCCUGGUAGUCCACGCCGUAAACGAUGUCGACUUGGAGGUUGUGCCCUUGAGGCGUGGCUUCCGGAGCUAACGCGUUAAGUCGACCGCCUGGGGAGUACGGCCGCAAGGUUAAAACUCAAAUGAAUUGACGGGGGCCCGCACAAGCGGUGGAGCAUGUGGUUUAAUUCGAUGCAACGCGAAGAACCUUACCUGGUCUUGACAUCCACGGAAGUUUUCAGAGAUGAGAAUGUGCCUUCGGGAACCGUGAGACAGGUGCUGCAUGGCUGUCGUCAGCUCGUGUUGUGAAAUGUUGGGUUAAGUCCCGCAACGAGCGCAACCCUUAUCCUUUGUUGCCAGCGGUCCGGCCGGGAACUCAAAGGAGACUGCCAGUGAUAAACUGGAGGA
rnacentral:rRNA from 1 species